UACGUAGGUGGCAAGCGUUGUCCGGAAUUAUUGGGCGUAAAGCGCGCGCAGGUGGCAGUUCAAGUCUGCUGUCAAAGACCGGGGCUUAACUUCGGAAAGGCAGUGGAAACUGAACAGCUAGAGUAUGGUAGGGGCAGAGGGAAUUCCUGGUGUAGCGGUGAAAUGCGUAGAGAUCAGGAAGAACAUCGGUGGCGAAGGCGCUCUGCUGGACCAUAACUGACACUCAGGGACGAAAGCUAGGGGAGCGAAUGGG
rnacentral:rRNA from 1 species